GUACGAGGUUUAGUACAGGUGUCCGGGGUGCAGGCAGAGUCCCUUUGUCCUCUGGCACCCAGCAGCCAGUGCCUCUUUGAACUGGGCGUCCCUGCGACCUUCCUUUGUGCCAAGGGAGCGGAACACAUCUUCUCGGAGAAAAGCCCCACCCCUGGAGGUGGCGCUGGGGCGGUAACAAUAAGCGCCCAUUGUCCGCCAGGGGCUUUCAAGCCCGGCAGCUGGCGACCGGGGUCUACCCGCCCGGGGCCGGAGCUCAGGUACUAAGGCAGGGUGGUGCGGCCAGCGACCCACGGCCUGCGCCCCGCCCCGGCCCGCCCCCUGCGCCGCCGGCCCCGCCCCGGCCCGCCCCGCCCUUCGCAGGUUCAGCCCUGGCGUCCGGCUGCAGUGCUUUCAGUAUAGCUCGCACCUUCCCUCUCUCUCCACGGUGGCUGCUAACGGCGGGUUGCGCAGCGGAGGGGCCCGAGCUGGGGGCAAGCCGGGAGUCCCCGGCCUUGGGCGCCUUCACGCAAUCUCAGAGCGGAUAAUGCUGUGAACUGGCGCCGCGCCCGCCGACCCGGCUGGAUCUGCGCGUGGCGGGCAGGGACUGCGUGCGCCCUCGGAAAGUGUCGGUGCCGGGCGCCUGGCCCCGGGGCCAGCGGCUGGGAUCCUUGGCGCCGCUGGUUUCUCCAUGCUGUGGAAGGGAUUGGUGGAUAUAACAGGCUCUCCAGAAAGUUCUGCUUGGUUGUAAGUCCAGAAGGCCUGUUAGACCUCCGUCUUGUUUCAGAGUCACUUCUGAAGCUACUUGAGAAAAAUAAUGUGACAGUUCCUAUCAAAAAGUAUACUGGGAAACAUAAAGCAUCCGUGAAGAAAGUGGCCCUUUUUCCAUUUUGCAAAAUCAGUGUUCUCCAAUUCCAAAAUGCCAGCCAAGACCCCAAUUUACCUGAAAGCUGCCAAUAACAAGAAAGGAAAGAAAUUUAAGCUGAGGGACAUCUUGUCUCCAGAUAUGAUCAGCCCUCCCCUUGGAGACUUCCGCCACACCAUUCACAUCGGCAAGGAGGGCCAGCAUGACGUCUUUGGAGACAUUUCCUUUCUUCAGGGGAACUAUGAGCUUCUACCUGGAAACCAGGAGAAGGCACACAUGGGCCAGUUCCCUGGGCAUAAUGAGUUCUUCCGGGCCAACAGCACCUCCGACUCCAUGUUCACAGAAACACCCUCGCCAGUGCUCAAAAAUGCCAUCUCCCUCCCAACCAUCGGAGGGUCCCAGGCACUCAUGUUGCCCUUAUUGUCACCAGUGACAUUCAAUUCCAAACAGGAGUCCUUUGGCCCAGGAAAGCUGCCCCGGCUUAGCUGUGAGCCAGUCGUGGAAGAGAAGGCUCCAGAGAAAAGCAGUCUGUUGGAGAAUGGGACGGUCCACCAGGGGGAUGUCUCAUGGGGCUCCAGUGGGUCUGCAUCCCAGUCCAGCCAGGGCAGGGACAGCCACUCCUCCAGCCUCUCUGAACAGUACGCCGACUGGGCGGCUGAAGAUAUGUUUGACCAUGCCGCCCCAUGCGAGCUCCUCAAGGAAAAGACUAAAUCAGAGGAGUCCCUCUCUGAUCUCACAGGUUCCCUCCUCUCCCUGCAACUUGAUCUUGGGCCCUCAUUUCUGGAUGAGGUGCUGAAUGUCAUGGAUAAAAAUAAGUAACAGGACUCUGCAGGCUCUUUUCCAUUGGAAUAAAAUGUAUCAAAAAACCGACUAAACAGUCGAAGAGAAGAGCUUUGCAGGCUGUAUUUGUUGUCAUGUGAUGGGUUUUCUAAAAUAACGUUCCUAUAAAAUAUUUUUUUACCUGGUAUGCCCUGUUUGCAAAAACAGUUAAAAAAAAAAAAAAAAAGCCCAUCCUGGCAAAGAGGAAGUGAAUCAGAACCCAUUUCUGGCGGGCACUGGUAAUGUACAGUUCACAUUUUUUGUUUCCAGACACAUAAGAAAUCUGGCUUGGCCAGGAUUGGCACUACUUAGCUAUGAAGGGCUAUGCCAAUCAUAUUAAGGACUUUUACAGUACUCAUGUUCUGAGCAAGAGGAGAUCAACAUUUAUUUAACACCUAAGCCUUUUUUCUAGACUCUUUUUCUAUAUUGUAUUGUUUGGACUCAUCAGAGCAAAUUCUUCAGUGUUAAAACUUUUCUGUUUUCACAUUUGAACAAUUUUAUGGGUUUUGGGGAUUUGCUUGUAGCUCUUAUAUAUCCCUAUAUAUAAUAUCUAUAUCGUGAAAUUUUGACUGUCAGCUACAUGUUGGUAAGACACAAGCAAAGUAUUACUGUAACUAAGUUAUUUUUAAAGUUAAAAUAUAUUUUUAUGUGCCUUCAGCUUUUUAUUGCAAAGUCUACAUUUUAUAGAUAUUACAUCAAAUGUGGUCAUUUGACUUCUUUCCAUUGGGGUUCCAUUGUAAGCUGUGUAUUAGUGUAUGUUUGGAAAGUGUAUUCAUACUUAGCUUUUUUUUUUCCCUUCAUCUGUUAUCAUACUUUUCACAGCAGCCAACAAUGGACUGUAAAGUGUAAAGGCACAGGUUACUCACAUUGCUUCUGCAGAGACUGUGGGCUACACCACAUGAUGUUAUUUGGAAAUGUGGGUAUUUUAGUUCAGUACAUACUUGCAUUACAUAGGUACUUCAUACAACACAAUAAAGAGUAAAUGUUAAAAUCAACUUGCUUGGUUAUAGUAAUAAAGAAAAUCAUAGGACAAUAAUUAUAUUUUCUUUUAAGUCCAGGGCUAGAAAACUUGCUUGUUUAAAUGUAUAUGAGCCUUUAAAAUUAAGGUAAGAGGUGAUUUCCACCUACUCUGUAAUUCUGAUUAUUUCACAAAGCUUUGAAAUUCCAGAAACAAGGCCCCUCAAUUUUAGGAAAAAUAAACAUAUGAGAUGAGAGUUGUUUUUUUUUUUAAUAAGUCAGCACUGAUGCCAACCUCUCAAAAACUAUUUCUGUGAAUCUCUUCCCUUACUUUAACCAGCAAACUCAUGUAACCCCAAUCCUGUCCCUAUAAGGUAAAAGUUUUCAUGCUGCAGCUUUCACAUAGACAAGAUUAAGAAGGCCAAAAAGAGAGCACUUACCCCCAAGGAGCCAGAGAUGCCCUGAGGAUGUCGGUUAAGGAACAGGAAAAGGAAAUGUACACAGCAGUUCCUGUCCCAUUGUCGACCACCCUUUCCCCCUCAAAGACUAACACUAACACAGUAACUUUCAUUCCUCCUUAAAACAUAUCCCUGAAUUGACUUUCUCUUCCAAACACUUCAAUGAUUCUCAGCAUGUCUGGAGUUGUUGCAAUUCCGUCAUCUGAUUAUCUGAAAUAACUUCUGAACUGUAGGUGAAAUGCAAUUAAGAUGACUAACCAAGUAGAAGAGGAAACAAGCUUUGUUAGAGCACUGAGUUCCUGCCUUAAUUUCCCAGUUGUGCUUCUAUCUCACAGUUUUCUUUUUCUGCUCCACCACACCCCACUCAUAGUUCAAUGUUCCAAAGAGAAACUUCCCAGUCUCUUCUAAAUCUUGUGAAUGAGGAAAAGUCCCAUGCAUGAUCAUUUUUAAGCAGACUCUCAACAUGUUCUCCAUCUUAAUUCCUUCCUUUCUUUCUUCCACACCCGUGCAUAUGAAAGUUCCUGGGCUAGGGGUCGAAUCAGAGUUGCAGCUGCCUGCCUAUACCACAGCUACAGCAACACAGGGUCCAAGCCAUGUGUGACCUGUGCCAAAGUUCAUGUCAAUGCUGGAUCCUUAAACCCAUUGAGCAAGACCAGGGAUUGAACCCACAUCCUCAUGAGUACUAGUCGGGUUCUUAACCCGCUGAGCCACAAUGGGGAUUCCCCAUCUUAAUUUCUAUUAAUCACCUUUUCUCAUUUUAUUCUUCAUUCUACAGCAUGACCACAAGGAAAAGAUUAAGCUAUUAGGUGAGAUGAAGAGGAAUGUCUGCCUUUCCUUUGCCUCCUCUGUAAGUAGGGAGAACAGCUCUGCCAGUAUUAUAUUUGUGUGAUAGAAUCUAAGCAAUAAUGCAUCUUUAUCGGUAUUUACCCAUUAGACCUUCUCUGCCGUUCCCAUUGAGUUAGGUAUCAUUGAGAUGGCAAGCAAUAUGCCCCGGUUAGAAAGGAAACAGCCACAUCUGGCCUAUGAACGAUAUUGUUGAGUCAUUUCUCCUGUGGCCGCCCUUCUAAUACCCAGUUCCUUCCCCAGGGAGCAUGUGAAGAGCUGGUAGAGGAUUUCUCCUGCAAAAAGGCUCUUCCAACCUGCACCUGCUGAGAGUUGACCAUUCUCCUACUUUGAACCUAAUUUAUAAAGUCGCACUUUAUUUGCAAAUCCGGAAAGAUGAAACGACCAGAAAAGAGACCACACAAUUUGUAUAAGUGGAAACCGUUAGUGUUGUAGUAGACAAGGUUCUUGUGGGUAGUCUCUUCCCUUUGCAGUGAGGCCUAACAAAGGACAAGGUAGAUUAUUUCUACCUAAAAUUAUCUGCUGAAAAAUAUCAAAACAUCAAGGUCUUAGGUCUGUACAAAUGUAAAGUCAUUAAUUAUCACAUUUCAGUGAGUCAGAGUCACAAAGACUAAACUGGUUGAACAUAAAAAAAGAACCUGGGUUUCCAGAGUUACUGUUUUUCCUCCACACAGAAAAACCUGAAGUCAUGGCACAGAGGAAGUUUGUGAGUUCAUGAAUUAACUUGAUAAAUAUUUUCAAACAGAGAAAAGAAAAUUAUACAUUAAGUGAUGGUUCUCAUCCUCUUAAUGUGAAACCUGAUGAGAUUCAAAUGUACUGAAAUAUAACAACUUAAGAGGGCAAGUCAACAUAAUGGUUUCUCUCCAAUAAGAGUUUUUCCUUUGGAAAUUGUGUUCCCAAUCUAGUGCUAAAUUUAGCAGGUCUAAUAAGGAAAAUCCCCAGACUUUAAAAUGAGUCCCCCAAACUAAUAUGAAUGAGUGAACUCAUUUUUUUCUUAUACAAGUCAGCAAGUCAUAUAAAUGGGGUUAUUGGGUGCUGCUCUGUGUCUCUCCCCAUAUAUUGGGCCAGAUCCAGCAAAAUACGAGAAGUUUCCAGAUGCCAAGUGAAAAGGUACCAUUGACCCAGACGGGUAGACUUCUAGUUUGGUUGUAUUAGACUUGAGAAUGUCACAAUACUCAAAACUAUACUCAUAUUAAACACAUUGGUUCUGGCUAUGGAGUUCCCAUCAUGGUGCAGUGGAAAUGAAUCCAAGUAGGACCCAUGAGGUUUCGGGUUCCAUCCCUGGCCUUGCUCAGUGGGUUAAGGAUCCAGCGUUGCCAUGAGCUGUGGUGUAGGUCACAGACAGGGCUCGGAUCUGGUGUUGCUGUGGUUCUGGCGUAGGCCAGCAGCUAUAGCUCUGAUUCGACCCCUAGCCUGGGAACCUCCAUAUGCCGCAGGUGUGGCUCUAAAAAGACAAAAGACCAAAAAAAUAAAUAAUAAAUACUGGUUUUGGCUAAGCAAUACAUUUAUUUUCUAAAGAAGAAAAUGGUCUCCCUUGUAGACUUUUAAGAUGCAUUUGUUUCAUCUGAUGAUAACCUAGAACGUCUCAUGCUUUAUUCUGAUGGCACACCAAUUCAGACAGCCAGCCUUCCUUCUGAAAAUGUUUAAUUCUCAUCUUAUUCUUAGAGCAAGUGCUUAUUAAAAAGUAAGCCUAGGAGUUCUCAUCAUGGCACAGCGGAAACAAACCCAACUAGGAACCAUGAGGUUGCAGGUUCAAUCCCUGGCCUCUCUCAGUGGAUUAAAGGAUCUGGUGUUGCUGUGAGCUGUGGUGUAGGCCAGCAGUUACAGCUCAGAUUAGACCUCUAGCCUCAGAACCACCAUAUGCCGUGCAUGCAGCCCUAAAAAGAAAAAAAAGUAAGCCUAAACAUUUCUUACUUGAGUUGUUAGGGAGUCUCAUUAUUCUGUGGUAAACCAUAAAACUGCUGCAAAAAAAGUCAUGCGAAAGAAUGGGAACUAUGCUUAUUUUAUGAAGUUAUGUAUAGCACAAUAAGGUCCAUUUUACAACUAUAGUACUGCAUUUAAUUAUCUUCCAUUUUUACUGAAAAAAAAAAAUCCAAUAGUGAAUUCACUUCCCAUGGCUUCUAAGGAGGUCAAUAAUCUUCAUCCUUGAAAGGUUGGCCAAAUUUCCUUCAUGGGAAGCAGACUGACACGAGUGGGAGAGAGAUUUUUUAAAUCUGCCCAAAUCAAAGCCACUGUGCAUAAUAGAGUUGAUAUUUCAGAGACAACAUGAAGAUGGAGAUGUCUGCCAUACAUAAAAACUAGUGAUGCUGAAUACAUGAAGUAUCAGGCUCCACCACGAAACGACUGACUGUAGGAGUAAGUCAUAAGGAGCACAAGCCUCUAGCAACUGAAGAAGUAGAACGCAGAAAGUAAGCCAGACCAGGAGAAGCAUGAAGAGUGAGUUCAUGUAAUGUAUUAUUUUGCCUGAGACCAAAAAAAAGAAGCAGCAGGGAGACAAGCUCUUCCAAAAGAUUAACAUGUUACCAAAUGGACCUUCCUCAGAAGAGAUAAUAAAGGUUAUAGUUGGCUGAUGUCCCUGGUGCGGGAGGAGUAAAUGCAAACAUUGCAAUUUUGCAUUUUGAAUCAACACAAGUUAGGUAGUGCAAGAGAAUAUUAACAUAAAGCUCUCAGUGACUGACAUGGUUUCAUUCACCCUACAGACCACCAGGCAUCAAGGCAUUAAUGUUGGUAUUUCUGAAACACUGUCUAAACUUCUCUCUGCUUCUCCCCAAUCCCCAUCACCCCUUAAUAAUGGCAUUUUAGGGAGGUUCCUUCAUGGCUCAGUGGUUAGCAAUCCCAACUAGGAUCAAUGAUGAUGUGAGUUCG